GGGGGCGGCGGGCGCGGGGAGGGGCGCGUGGGGGUCGGAUACCGGAGCACGGUCGGAGGCUGGUCUGGGUGUGUGGAGGCUGAGCACCCCGGCCCGGGCCGCGCGGACCCUGGAGAGGAACGAGAGGAGCCUGUCUAACUUCUGCUGAGAAACUGGAUGAUAUCGCGAUUAGGAUAUCGCCACCAGACUCCGCGCCAGGCUGUUUUCACUUGGGGCACCCCAGAGGGGGCCGGGUGAGAGCCCUCCCUGCCCCAAGGGACCCAGCCCUGGCAGCCGACCUCCACUACCCCACCGCCGCCACGCUCCAGGCCGCUUUCCACAUGCUAGGACUGAGCCUCACGCAUGAGCGAAGUCCCACGGAGCCCAGAACCCCACGUCUUCCCCCUGGCCAUCUGUGCGGGAAGGACAACCGGGCUGAAAACUCGGCCUUGGCAAAUAGUUCCAUAACCACUAUCCGUUAUCUACAGAAGGGACUCAGGCGGGGCGGGCAGCCGCCAGAAUGUUCUGGAAACAUGUCUAGAUGACCUAUCUGUAACUAUUUGUUUGUACUAUUUGAAAUGAUGUGUUCUUCUGAAUUUUGAAACUUGCCAUUUUCACUUACGUUUUUGUUUGAAUUUGUAAGCGUGGGCUACAAUGUAAGCAUUGACUAGAAAACUGGCGGCUUCUCCCUUGUUCGUCGUCUUGCUUGGGCCUGCGUGCCUAGAAGCUUGACCCCAGCUCGCUGGCUUAAUAAACUCCACUUGUAUGUUACGUUACUGGCUGAAAUCUUUGUGCAGAUUUGGAGAGGGGGAAGUUAUCGACUCCAGACCCUAACAGCAGCACCACAUUCUCUGGCCUGGUUGUCAGAGAAUCACUAUCACAACCCCAGGGCCUCAGAGCACUGUCUGGGUCACUUACGACCCCCCCACCCCAACCGAAGGACUCUUGGGUUGAACGAGAAGUUUUCUCUCUUCUCACUUUCCACCAAGAAGUGUUUAUGAAAUCCGACUGACUUUUUUUGGCUUAAGUUUUCCUCAGCCUACACUCUUUUUUCAGUCCAUUGCUUCUGCUAAAUUUAGACCUGUAGCACCUUUUCCAAGUUGUUGCCGCAGACUCGUCCCUGCUGUGUUGGCUUUCUGUCUUGCCUUCUCUGUAGACUGCCUCCCCGUCUGCCAUGACAGUUCUCUUUCCAAAAUACAGCAACAGUAUCCUUUGCUAUCUGCAGGGGACGCAUUUCAAGACCCUUAGAAGAUGUUUGCAAUGGGAUCUUUCGUUGUUGUUUUCCCCAAUAUGUGGUAAAGGUUAGUUUACCAUUUACCGGAGGUUCCUGUACUUUGUUGCUCAAUUAACACUGGUAAAGGUUAAUUAAGAAAUGAAGCCCAGGGGCUGG